AAAUAAUCCAUUUGGAAACGGUGAAUCCAAAAUAUAUUCAGCGACUUCUUUUCAUGGUCUAAUUCCGGUUCACCCUCUCGUCUUCAUUUCAUCAUUUUCAUCUUUUGUCUCAUCUUCAUCUUCUUUCAUUUCAUCAUCAUCUUCUUUUACUCCAUCUUCGUUUCCUAUCAACCCAAAGCAAAUCUUCAGAUUCAGGUGCAGGUUGGCCUCCAAAACAUGUUCUCAUGAAGCACAUCCCUCUCUGCUAGUCAGAUUCUCCAAACCCUGGCCCCACACAACUCCUUCAUGACCACGAGACAACCCAAAUCCCAGUGUCGCACAGUGCUCCAUGGCCACCAACCAAAGAUAAAAGAUGCAAUCAAUCCUAACCUUCACAAUGGUUGAAGAUGGAGGCAGGUGCAGGGAUACACGCACAGCAUGGUAGAAGGGGAAGGAAUUAUGAGUUAUUGAAGGUGAUCUAGUUCAGAAGAAUGUUGGCGAGGGGGCUAGGAUGGUUCGUGAACUACUUGAGAUGGUUCGUUCAAAGAAGGCGUGCAUUGUGUUUUUUGAUGGUGUUGGUGGUGAUAACGAGGUUCAACGAACCACGCUUGAAAUUGUUAAUCAGCUUGAUGGAUUUGAUGCUCGUGGAAACAUCAAAGUUUUGAUGGCAACAAACAGGUUGGUUCGUUUUAUUAGUAGAGCAUCUCAGGAUUAUUGUGCCAGUUUUGUCAUAAUCAUGAUGCAUUCCAAUGACAUGUGUACAAUCUUGAGAACAUUGAAUUCAAAUCAAUUAAUAUAUUCAACUUUUAAUAAAAUAUAUA